AACGAACGCUGGCGGCAGGCUUAACACAUGCAAGUCGAACGCACCGCAAGGUGAGUGGCAGACGGGUGAGUAACACGUGGGAACGUACCCCUUUGUUCGGAAUAACCCUGGGAAACUAGGGCUAAUACCGGAUACGGCCGGAAGGCGAAAGGUUUACCGCAGAGGGAUCGGCCCGCGUCCGAUUAGCUUGUUGGUGAGGUAAUGGCUCACCAAGGCAUCGAUCGGUAGCUGGUCUGAGAGGAUGGCCAGCCACAUUGGGACUGAGACACGGCCCAAAACUCCUACGGGAGGCAGCAGUGGGGAAUAUUGGACAAUGGGCGCAAGCCUGAUCCAGCCAUGCCGCGUGAGUGAUGACGGCCUUAGGGUUGUAAAGC
rnacentral:rRNA from 1 species